GCUCUUCAGUGCUUAUGACCUCCAGGAGCAAGUUGACGUCCAUGGAAGACGUGCGGUUGUUCUCCGUGCUCUUCCUCCUUAUCUGUGCGAGGAUGACUCCAAGUUCUUGAAGAUGUGGGAUCCUGUGGAGUCUCCAGAAAUGGAUCUUCAUGACAUAGCAGUUGGCAUCAUUUUGAACUCUGCCAACUCAAUUGAUCCCACAUUCCUUGUACCAGAUACGGUUGAAGUUCUCAUUGAGGGUAAUGUAGUGAUCACCAUGCCCACACUCGCUGAUGGAUAUAUUGUCCUUUUUGGCCUGAUUUAUGCACUACAUUUAGAUUACCCAAAAGAAUUGGCCAAUACUUUUGACUUCAUUCAGAAGGUCUUAAUGGGCCUGGAAGAUGGAAAGUUGAGACCCAGAGUGUUGAGCAUGAAAAAUGAACUUUUGGCACACUUUUGGUGUAAUCUGGCUCUUGUUAACAAAGUUGCUUGAGCAACAUGUCAGGCACACAAAACUGAAACAACUUAAUGUUUUGACUGUAUUAUUGUUCACCUCCAACUCAAUGUUUGCCAGUUCAUCUUAAAAAUUGUAUUAGUAUGGAUACAGUGUCAUGCAUUUGUAGGCAUAUUUGUUUUUUUUUGGUCAGUUUUUGAAAAUACUCUUUUGUGAUGCUUGUUUGUUUGUACUGGAAGUUGUUACUGAAGUACACAGUUUCAUAUCUUUGCUCUUAUGUGAUUUUAAAAUAUGAUAAUGUGAUGCAGUGCUUUAAAUUUAUUACAUUAAACUGAGCUGUAAUGUUUAUUAGUAAAGUUGGACAUGUAU